UGCAGUCGAGCGACAGAUAAGGAGCUUGCUCCUUUGACGUUAGCGGCGGACGGGCGAGUAACACGUGGGUAACCUACCUAUAAGACUGGGAUAACUUCGGGAAACCGAAGCUAAUACCGGAUAACAUUUGGAACCGCAUGGUUCUAAAGUGAAAGAUGGUUUUGCUAUCACUUAUAGAUGGACCCGCGCCGUAUUAGCUAGUUGGUAAGGUAACGGCUUACCAAGGCGACGAUACGUAGCCGACCUGAGAGGGUGAUCGGCCACACUGGAACUGAGACACGGUCCAGACUCCUACGGGAGGCAGCAGUAGGGAAUCUUCCGCAAUGGGCGAAAGCCUGACGGAGCAACGCCGCGUGAGUGAUGAAGGGUUUCGGCUCGUAAAACUCUGUUAUUAGGGAAGAACAAACGUGUAAGUAACUGUGCACGUCUUGACGGUACCUAAUCAGAAAGCCACGGCUAACUACGUGCCAGCAGCCGCGGUAAUACGUAGGUGGCAAGCGUUAUCCGGAAUUAUUGGGCGUAAAGCGCGCGUAGGCGGUUUCUUAAGUCUGAUGUGAAAGCCCACGGCUCAACCGUGGAGGGUCAUUGGAAACUGGGAAACUUGAGUGCAGAAGAGGAAAGUGGAAUUCCAUGUGUAGCGGUGAAAUGCGCAGAGAUAUGGAGGAACACCAGUGGCGAAGGCGACUUUCUGGUCUGUAACUGACGCUGAUGUGCGAAAGCGUGGGGAUCAAACAGGAUUAGAUACCCUGGUAGUCCACGCCGUAAACGAUGAGUGCUAAGUGUUAGGGGGUUUCCGCCCCUUAGUGCUGCAGCUAACGCAUUAAGCACUCCGCCUGGGGAGUACGACCGCAAGGUUGAAACUCAAAGGAAUUGACGGGGACCCGCACAAGCGGUGGAGCAUGUGGUUUAAUUCGAAGCAACGCGAAGAACCUUACCAAAUCUUGACAUCCUUUGAAAACUCUAGAGAUAGAGCCUUCCCCUUCGGGGGACAAAGUGACAGGUGGUGCAUGGUUGUCGUCAGCUCGUGUCGUGAGAUGUUGGGUUAAGUCCCGCAACGAGCGCAACCCUUAAGCUUAGUUGCCAUCAUUAAGUUGGGCACUCUAGGUUGACUGCCGGUGACAAACCGGAGGAAGGUGGGGAUGACGUCAAAUCAUCAUGCCCCUUAUGAUUUGGGCUACACACGUGCUACAAUGGACAAUACAAAGGGCAGCUAAACCGCGAGGUCAUGCAAAUCCCAUAAAGUUGUUCUCAGUUCGGAUUGUAGUCUGCAACUCGACUACAUGAAGCUGGAAUCGCUAGUAAUCGUAGAUCAGCAUGCUACGGUGAAUACGUUCCCGGGUCUUGUACACACCGCCCGUCACACCACGAGAGUUUGUAACACCCGAAGCCGGUGGAGUAACCAUUU
rnacentral:rRNA from 1 species